rnacentral:sRNA from 1 species
UGCAACAACGCGGGCGAAGGCGAAUUGG